rnacentral:lncRNA from 1 species
AAAACUAAAAUGUUGAUAAAUUGAGUAAAGAGACUUUUAAUGCUAUCUCAACAUUUUCCUCAACUUGGGAGGUUUAUAAGACUUUAAUAUAACAUCAGUUUACAAUCUAUACAACUACUGCUCCACUGUAGUCUUCAAACAUUCAGUUUUAUAAAUCAUUUCUGAAAUGUUAAUAAUCUGCUUUAUUUCCAAAUCUCACAAGAUCUUUAUAUUUCCAUACGUACAAAGUCGCAGGAUCCCUCUGGUGCUAACUGAAAAGCACAGUACACCUGUAACAGCACAGCCGAGGGCUGGGUUCAGUUCUGGUGAUUCCCAUGACGGUGCUAUGCGCUGACCACACUGAAAAAGGCAGGGUAGCGGACAAAGUACAUACAGGCCGCCAGCUUCAAGGGUUUAUGCUUGGGCCAAAUGUGACUUCAUUAAUCCGAAAUACGACUCAAUGAGAAGGUCAACUGUGUUCACUGUAUGCCUAUUAUGUGCCAGCAGCUGAGAUACCACUGAGACAAAAAAGCCCUCGAGACCUGAACAAUUCCAACAAAACAUAGUGACUGAGUUUACUACAUGUGCAAAUGGCAGCAAAAAAAAGCCCUCAAUUCAAUACUUUUGUCUGUUCUGUACCGAAGAAAAGCCACUUUAAAAAAACCCACAAAUAUUUUGAAGAAUCAAAAACAAAAUUACUUGUGAAUUUAGUAAUUUGGCUCAUUUGGAAAUCCGCAGAUUUUUCUCAGGAAGUGACAUCCAUUUCUGCUCAAGUGUGGCCCGAGCCAGCGAUUACGUGGAGCCAGGCCAUUUCCUCACUCAGCCUGUCCAGUAAGGAAGCUUGGGAGGUCAGUGGACAAGGCCUUGGCAUCAGUGGCCGCCAGGUCCACAGCCAGAUGCCCUGGGGACUCCUGGCUGCCAUCUGUAACAUGGCUCAGGAAAGGCCACUUGUGUUUUCUAUGAACGGCCUGAUCCCAAGCCACUUCACAGCCAAUGUCCCCAGUCUUCUCGGAGCGCACCCUUCCACACCUGAGCCGCAGAGCGCUCCUCAGAAGAUGGACAUGUGUAUGAAGCGUGAGCUCAGGCGCUCUGCGCGCCAUGCAGGGACUUGGGUCCAGCUGUCCUGUCUUCCCCAGACUAGUAACACUGUUCCUCCCUCUGCCAGCAAAGUUUCAGUAACUGCCUCUGUUCAUUAAACUUACAUUAUUGGUACUUUAAAUAUCCUCCUCCACCCACUUUGAGAAAAGAUCUAUGAAAACGGUAAGGGGCCUUCGGUUUAAACUGUUUCUAAGGUUCUUCGAGGAUAGUUCCACUAACACUCUUGCUUUUACCUCGAAAAACUCCUGCCCACAAAGUUUGAUUUCAAAGGCCCAGCUAAUAAAAUCAAAGCACUCUGGAACUCCCUCAGCACUGCCUUUCCUCCUGGGGAAUGGAGGAGAGAGCGGGUCCUGAUGUGGAGCUGCCUGAGAAGGGUAAUUGGCCAGAGGGCCAGGCCCAGGCACUACCCACAGCACACCAGGGCAGGGCUGCCUCAGGCCACAUCACCACAGAAAGUCUCUGAUGUCAAGUUAAUAUCAUAUCACUCUCAGGAACCAGUCCACAUCGGAGGCCUACCACUGACAAGUUUCCAGAGCCUCAGCGACUCUUCCCCUUUCUCAAAAUUUAACAUCGCGACUUCGGAGAACAGAGACAAGCGCUGCCCGAAAGUCAUCACCGACUCGGUGCUGGGUGGCUAGGUCGGCCCUUCGAAGGCCCAGACUGCAGUGCUAGGCGCCCAAGCUCUUAGACUGCGCUGCCCCUCAGGCUGCCCUGCCUGUGUCAGGGUCGCGAGUGCGUGUGAUGGAGAAAACUCGCAGCACGGUGGGUUCCUGAGACAGGAGGCGGCGACCGGCUUCAACCCAGAAAAGCGCUUCUCCCGGCCGCUGCUCCGUGGGGUUUCAGCUCCACAGCUGCGCAGCUGCCCGGCGGGGUCAGGCAUACGGAAGCGGGGAUGUUUCGUGCCUGUGGCCUUAAGGAAGAUGCUGUGCCUCUGUCGCCGACGAGCCCCUGAGGCCAGUCCGGGAGCCCCCCUGCUCAGCAGCGGGCCUGUCCCCACCCACUGUCAAUUCCUGCUCUCCCGGUUCCCACCCGAGUCCGCUCAAGAGACGCUGCACAAACUCCUUGGGCAUCAAGCCGGGCUGCACCGCCAGGCUCUGGUUUCGAAUCAUGAACACCAGUAGCGCCGUUUCUCAGCGUCAGUCCUCCUGCGUGUAAGUGAGAGUGGUCUUGCUUAAAACCGCCAGCAGAUCUGGAGAACCAGGCAGCCGUCUCCCCGCCUCCCUCUCUCCCUCCCUCCGGAGCCAGGCGCGACCGACCGGCGGCACCGCGCGGCCCGCGGUACUCACUGAGCAUCUCUCCUGCUGGCCCAGGACUCCAUGGCGAGCGGGGGCCGCCAGAGGUUUCAUAAUGAAGGAGCAGGUGCUGCGCCCAGGCUACACAUGGUAGACGGCAAGGCCCAGUCUGCAGCAGUCAGUCAGCAGAGGAGGAAAGGAGACAAAAACGGGGAGGCGGAGGGAAGCCGAGCUGCAGAGGCGCCACCGCCGGGAGCUGGGAAGCGCCGCGCACCCAAGGAGCAGAAGCCGGGCGGAGCGGCAGUGCCGGCCUCCAUGCUCCGCACCGGCGCCGCCCGCCCGGCUCCAGCUCCCGAGGACGCGCCCUUCGAGGCCGGAGAGGACGGCGGGGGCGAGCAGCUAAAAUGGCUGACUGCACACGCUCCUCACGCGGGCUCGCGGCCGGCGGCCGGCGUGCAGGGCAGCACUGCUGUCUCCUGGCCUCGCGGCGCAGACCCCGACCGAGAGGAAGGAAAAACCGGGACAGCCUUGUGAAGGGACCCCCUCCCUAGCUGCCGCUGCUCCGGGAGUCCUGGCCGCGAGCUCAGCCCCACGCCACUGACCAAGUUUGCACAAUUAAGCUCGGCAGCGUGACACCUGCAGACACUGACUUCGAUGCUGUCUGUCCCUCACACUCAGCACGAGCACGCCUGCUACAAGUCACUGACAGACACAGCACACGCACACCCAUCUCCGCACGCGAGUCUGAAUGCGACACACCCAGAGAAUUACAUUACUGUGCUUACUUUGGAGGACCAUGGCUGCAGGCAGUUGGCAUAGCAACGCACAAGGAAAGCCAUUUCCUGGGGAGAGAGCUUCCUUUUCUAAACAAAAAAAUUCCUCCUAGGAAGCAAACGGCAUCGCUGCUUCUGCAGAAGCAAGACACUGUAGUGUGUCUCCUAACCUGCGCGGCUCGCUCACUCGCUGCAGUCCUAGUGAUGUAAGUGGAUCUCGCCCUCCCUCUCCCUCGUGCACCGAGACACUCAGCUCCACGGCACACACGUUCCUUCAGGCUCGCCCCUCUGCCUCACCGUGGCGCUUGUUAAGGGAGCGGCGGCAGCCAGAAAGUAACGCGCUCGUGCCUCGUGCCUCGUGCCUCGGCGGCUGCAGGUUAAGCAAGUCUCGGAGGGAUGGAGUCCAUUGACUGCUGACUCCGGAUCAUGCCACCCAGACAGUGGGAAACGGAGAAGGACUUUCCCGAACAGCUUGGCACUAAAACGUAAUUCUUCACCAAGAUCUCUCUCUAUCGGAUCACGAUCACCCAGUUCCAAUCAUUACUUUUUGUCCUGAGAAUCACUGAAAAAUCAACGAUCCCGAUUCCAUUCCAACCCUAUCCACCCAACCUGUUUACCAUACCACCUCUAGGAUCUUUGAAAACUAGUCUGAUCACUUCCCCUUCCUCCAUGGUGGCCCUUUUACAAGUUAAACCACUCCAAUGGCUUCCCAUGGUACCCAACAUAAAGACCAAAUCCCUGUUGCAGCUGCGGGAGGUGCAGCUUCCCAGGCUCACACCAGGCUCACACUCACACUCACGCGCGGUCUCUUGCACUCCAGGCUGCUCGGGCU